GUAUAGGCAGCAGGAAAAGCUCAUAUAAGUUCGCUGUCAUGGCGCGAACGUCUCUACGGAGCCGCCGAAGGCUCUUCUAUGAGUGUCUGUUGGAAGGGG
rnacentral:ncRNA from 2 species